rfam:Candida parapsilosis strain CDC317 mitochondrial contig 006121
GAGUUGUUAGAUUAAUGGUAAAUCGUAGAUCUUACACGUCUUAGUUAAUGGUUCGAAUCCAUUACGACUCA